UCUGUAUCUCAGAGUUUCUUUGUUCAUCAUACCAUACAGUAUGAUCAGUUUGAUGUAGCAAAACUCUGAGCAACGUCUCAUCUUGAAGAAAAGAGCAUCAGAAAUUCUCCUUCAGCUUCACCGCAGCAGAAGGAAAUGGUCGGAAGCAGCCAGAACAUCAGGCAGAACCUCCGUCUCCGUCUGCAGCUCUCUGUAAACUGGUUUUCUCCAAAGCCGCCAUCAUCUGAGCAUCACCACUAAAACAUUUCCAGAAAACUUGGACUUUGUGCUAUUUUUGUCAAAUUUGAAAUACAAGUACACAAGA